rnacentral:rRNA from 1 species
UACGAAGGGGGCUAGCGUUGCUCGGAAUUACUGGGCGUAAAGCGCACGUAGGCGGAUUGUUAAGUCGGGGGUGAAAUCCUGGAGCUCAACUCCAGAACUGCCUUCGAUACUGGCGAUCUCGAGUUCGGGAGAGGUGAGUGGAACUGCGAGUGUAGAGGUGAAAUUCGUAGAUAUUCGCAAGAACACCAGUGGCGAAGGCGGCUCACUGGCCCGAUACUGACGCUGAGGUGCGAAAGCGUGGGGAGCAAACAGGGAUUAAGAAAC